AGUCGAGGGGUAGUAUAGCAAUAUAUGAGACCGGCGCACGGGUGCGUAACGCGUAUGCAACCUACCUUUUACAGGGGAAUAGCCCAGAGAAAUUUGGAUUAAUGCCCCAUGGUAUAUAUUAUUCGCAUGUUUGAUAUAUUAAAGUUCCAACGGUAAAAGAUGGGCAUGCGUCCUAUUAGCUAGAUGGUAAGGUAACGGCUUACCAUGGCUACGAUAGGUAGGGGUCCUGAGAGGGAGAUCCCCCACACUGGUACUGAGACACGGACCAGACUCCUACGGGAGGCAGCAGUGAGGAAUAUUGGACAAUGGGCGCAAGCCUGAUCCAGCCAUGCCGCGUGCAGGAAGACGCAUCUAUGGUGUGUAAACUGCUUUUGUACGGGAAGAAACACUCCUACGUGUAGGGGCUUGACGGUACCGUAAGAAUAAGGAUCGGCUAACUCCGUGCCAGCAGCCGCGGUAAUACGGAGGAUCCAAGCGUUAUCCGGAAUCAUUGGGUUUAAAGGGUCCGUAGGCGGUUUGAUAAGUCAGUGGUGAAAGCCCAUCGCUCAACGAUGGAACGGCCAUUGAUACUGUCAGACUUGAAUUAUUAGGAAGUAACUAGAAUAUGUAGUGUAGCGGUGAAAUGCUUAGAUAUUACAUGGAAUACCAAUUGCGAAGGCAGGUUACUACUAAUGGAUUGACGCUGAUGGACGAAAGCGUGGGGAGCGAACAGGAUUAGAUACCCUGGUAGUCCACGCCGUANACGAUGGAUACUAGCUGUUCGGGGCAACCUGAGUGGCUAAGCGAAAGUGAUAAGUAUCCCACCUGGGGAGUACGUUUCGCAGAAUGAAACU
rnacentral:rRNA from 1 species